UGUGCGUGCGUGUGCGUGUCUGCCAUCUUCUGUGUGCGUGUGUGCACACAAGUAAGGUCAUCAUUCAUACAUAUGUGCUAAUGUUAGCUUGCGGUGUUUACUUCUUUGCAUUUACUCCAGCUGGCCUUCAAGCAUGUGGAAUAAAUGCGCCAUCCUAAUUUGGUGUGUUGGAGGGUUAAUCGGCAGCACACUAGUUUAACAGUCGAGUUUAAGUGCGUUUAACGAUUCACUUAUUCGACGUUACUUGUAAGACACAGUUGUCCUACUCGUGGGGUAAAGGACAAGGGACAUACUAGUGCAUCCAUCUUAAAAUUAGAUCUUCAAUCAAUGGCUUUACAUGCUCCCUUAGGAUCUCUUGAGAAGGUGCGCUCCAUUUGCCUACCCAGCUGUCCAGGAAAUAUUUUAAUAUUAUUCACUUCUAUUUUGCGCGCACAUGCUAACAAAUUUGUAGCCACAAAUUAGCAUUUUGUUGCAUCUAAAUUGUGGCCCAACGUCCCUCCCACCUAUGUCAUGUUUGAGUGUUUUGUGUUACUCUGUUACUGUGUGUGUGCGUGUGUGUGUGCGUGUGUGUGUGUGUGUGUGUGUCAGUCCAUCGGUGUCUGUGUGUGCGCUGUAUCUGUAUUUCCCCUUUUAGCCUUUGAAGUGUUGUCUACAGGAAGCCCCAGACUGUUUACCCACUGAAACAUUCCUUCCUGCAACAACCCCCCUAACCCCACUUGCCAUCCCACCCAAACACACACACACACACACACACACACACACGCAUACACAUCAGAGGAUGCUGAAUGUGGGGGUUCGAGGCUUUGCUAUUCAACAGGUGUGAAGUGGUUAGAGGUGUGAGAUUUUAGGAAAAGACCCAAUAAAAGCAAACAUGUUAUUUGCAUGCCAGGCCUGUAGGUGGCGAUGUGUCUUUCGACAGUUAACAUUGUUCUGCGCUGUUGCCUGCGUGCCACAUACUUAUAUUGUAAAGCAGGUCCAAUAUUUUUUGUUGUUUUUGUUGUUUUAUUCAAUCUGUAAGUAAAAUGACCACAUUCAAGACAUUCCGAACAUUUUGCUGAAUGAUUCAUAUCAUAAAGGGCAAAUUCAUCCAUGUUGGCUGGCAGGAGAGACGAGAGCUUUGUGUUGAAUGUGUCCCAUUCGAUUUUAAACUGUGAAGGUAAGUUUCAAGAUUGAGUUCCUGAGGUUUAUGUCAUUGGCACGCAGUUCACCUUUUGUUGACCUUAUCUUGGUUGGAAGUGCGAAUCUUAUUUUAUUAUAAGUCUCUUUUGGCUAAUUUUAUUGGAAUACAGCGUCUUGACUCAUAAUCUUAUGUUAAUAUCAGUUUCAAUGAAACAAAAAAUAAAAGCACGUGGCAUUUUUUUUUUCUUUUGAAGAACUGUUCACGAUCAAUCAUUUCCUCAUCUUCUGCGACCGGUCCCUGUGGAUCAGAGCGACUCCACCCCCGCUUAGAUCCCAUCUUAGAUAUCCCGCUUCCUGGAUCGUAUUUCCCGCUUUCACCUGCACCCGAAACACUCGCCCUUGGAAAAACAUCCCUUUGUGUUCAGCUAAGCCGGAUGAUCCUGUGGUUUCUCUUUUUCACCCCUCGUCUGUCUGCCUGCGUGUGUGUGUGUGUGUAAAACAUCUGCAGGAGGACGCGCAGGGAAAAUCAGUCCGCUUCCUCCUGGCCAGAAUCACAACUUUCCAGGCAUGUUUCUCACUGUCCGGGCUCCUUGUACCGCGGGGGCUUGUAUGUUUUUGACAUCAGAGAGCCUCGGCGUCCUUCCCGUGUGAAACUUGGGUAAAAUGUCUGGGUGGGCUUCGCCGUCGAUGUGUUGUCAGACGGUGAUGCGAGAUUAUGGCGG